AGUAGCUGCGAGCGAAGAGGGAAGAGCCCAGCACUGAAUCCCGCAGGCCUGGCCUGUAGGGAGAUGUGGUGUUAGGGAGGAUCCGAUUAUCCCGGGUUGUGAUGGCGAGUCCAAGUCCUUCUGGAAUGUGGCUAGAAAUCCAUAGAGGGUGAAAGGCCCGUAGCGACCGCCGUCUAUCCCGGGAGGGUCUCUCCUCAGAGUCGGGUUGCUUGAGAAUGCAGCCCAAAGUGGGUGGUAAACUCCAUCUAAGGCUAAAUAUGACCACGAGACCGAUAGCGAACAAGUACCGUGAGGGAAAGUUGAAAAGAACUUUGGAGAAAGAGUUCAAGAGUACGUGAAACCGUUCAGGGGUAAACGGGAGAAGUCCUGAAUUCGAAAGGGGCCGGAUUCAAGUCGAUCCGUGUGUGCAGGAUGCAUGCCCGCCUGAUGACGUUGGACACCACCCAGAUACAUUGUGUCUGCGGUUGGCGUUAGCGGCGUCGCUGAGCGUGAGCUGCAUUUGCCUGGCACCGGACGGCCGCACUUCCACCCUAGUAGAAGCGUCGCGACCCGUUGGGUGCCGGUCUAAGGCCCGGGAAGGCAGACCUCUUAGUCCUGAGUGUAUGGUUCCUCAGGCAUGUGGACUCCCGGUGACCUGGCAGGCUGCUCGACGGUCUAUGAAUAGAGGAGCCGGUCCGCUGAAUGGAAAAAAACACUGAGGUGUGAAGCGUCCGACUCGGUAGCUGCGUCCUCUCGAGGGGAGCUGGAGCUUGUUUUUCAGCACCUACUCCCAGCGGGUUGACAGGUUUGCCGGAAGAUUUCGGACGGGACCGAUACUCCUGUCGGCGACGAUCUUCUUCGGAUGGUCUCCCGACCCGUCUUGAAACACGGACCAAGGAGUCUAACAUGUGCGCGAGUCAAUGGGUUGAAAACCUACAGGCGCAAUGAAAGUGAAGGCCGAAGAUGGUUAGCCGGCCGAGGGAAGAUGGAACUGGGUUUCCGGGGUCCUCGCGGAUCCCGGUCCCGGCCCGCAUUCCCGGGGCGUCUCACCCUCACUGCGAGGGGAGGCGUACCUAGAGCGUACUUGUUGGUACCCGAAAGAUGGUGAACUAUGCCCGGCCAGGAUGAAGUCAGGGGAAACCCUGAUGGAGGUCUGAAGCGAUUCUGACGUGCAAAUCGAUCGCCAGAGCUGGGUAUAGGGGCGAAAGACUAAUCGAACCAUCUAGUAGCUGGUUCCCUCCGAAGUUUCCCUCAGGAUAGCUGGCACUCGGAGGAGGAAAAAGAGACGAGUCUCAUAUGGUAAAGCAAAUGAUUGGAGGCCUUGGGGCCGAAACGGUCUCAACCUAUUCUCAAACUUUAAAUGGGUGAGAUCUCCACCUUGCGUGGAUGUGAAGCUGGUGGUGGAUCGAGAGUGCCUAGUGGGCCACUUUUGGUAAGCAGAACUGGCGCUGUGGGAUGAACCAAACGCCGAGUUAAGGCGCCUGAAUUGAUGCUAAUGGGAAACCAUGAAAGGCGUUGGUUGCUUAAGACAGCAGGACGGUGGCCAUGGAAGUCGGAAUCCGCUAAGGAGUGUGUAACAACUCACCUGCCGAAGCAACUAGCCCUGAAAAUGGAUGGCGCUAAAGCAUCGUGCCUAUACUCGGCCGUCAGUGGCAGUGGGAGCCGGUCGGGGCCUCUGGUCCCGGCCCUCGAAGAAGCCCUGACGAGUAGGAGGGCGCGGCGGUGAGCGCAGAAGGGCGGGGCGUGAGCCAGCCUGGAGCCACCGUUGGUGCAGAUCUUGGUGGUAGUAGCAAAUACUCUAUGGAGGACCUAGUGGACUGAGGCGGAGCAGGGUUUCGUGUGAACAGUUGUUGCACACGAGUCAGUCGUACCUAAGCCCUAUGUGAAAUCUGAUGCCGAUGGGUGGUCUAGGAAAUGGUGGCCAAUACCCCGGCGGGCGAAAGGGAAUCAGGUGGAUAUUCCUGAACAAGGCACGGAACCGUUCCAAUAUCGGACCCUCGUGAGUUCGUCGGGGUAACCCGAAUUAACCCGGAGAAGCCGGCGGGAGGUCUGGGCAGAGAUUUCUUUUCUGUAUGAGCGGUCGGGUACCCUGGAAUCCUCUAGCAGGGAGAUAGGGUAUGGACCUGCGCAAUGCACCGCAGUUGCUGUGGUGUCCAGAUUUUCUCCUCGGACCAUGAAAAUCCGGGGGAGGGUCACGCGGAACCUCCGUGCUGGAACGUACCUAAUCCGCA
rnacentral:rRNA from 1 species